rnacentral:rRNA from 1 species
UAUCCCCUACGGGACGCAGCAGUGGGGAAUAUUGCACAAUGGGGGGAACCCUGAUGCAGCGACGCCGCGUGAGUGAAGAAGUAUUUCGGUAUGUAAAGCUCUAUCAGCAGGGAAGAAAAUGACGGUACCUGACUAAGAAGCCCCGGCUAACUACGUGCCAGCAGCCGCGGUAAUACGUAGGGGGCAAGCGUUAUCCGGAUUUACUGGGUGUAAAGGGAGCGUAGACGGUUUUGCAAGUCUGAAGUGAAAGCC